rnacentral:rRNA from 1 species
AUUGAACGCUGGCGGAAUGCUUUACACAUGCAAGUCGAACGGCAGCACGGACUUCGGUCUGGUGGCGAGUGGCGAACGGGUGAGUAAUGUAUCGGAACGUGCCCAGUCGUGGGGGAUAACGUAGUGAAAAUUACGCUAAUACCGCAUACGAUCUAUGGAUGAAAGCGGGGGAUCGCAAGACCUCGCGCGAUUGGAGCGGCCGAUAUCAGAUUAGGUAGUUGGUGGGGUAAAGGCCCACCAAGCCAACGAUCUGUAGCUGGUCUGAGAGGACGGCCAGCCAGACUGGAUCUGAGACACGGUCCAGGCUCCUACGGGAGGUAGCAGUGGGGAAUUGUGGACAAUGGGCGAAGGCCUGAUCCAGCCAUUCCGCGUGCAGGAUGAAGGCCCUCGGGUUGUAAACUGCUUUUGUACAGAACGAAAAGGUUUCUACUAAUACUAGGAGCUCAUGACGGUACUGUAAGAAUAAGCACCGGCUAACUACGUGCCAGCCGCCGCAGUAA